UGAAGUCAUAAACUUUGUCACAAAGUGGACUUGCACACUAAGGAAACAUGACCUAAAUUACUAUAAAGCAUUGUUAUUACACCAAAUAAGCAAUUAUUUAAUGUCCGCAUAGAGAAUUAUGAGGCAGCUGCCUCCGCCAAAUUUCGUCCUACCUCCAGCCCUCGACAAAACACUGAUAGGGGUCAUAAUGGAAAACACUGUUUUCUAGCAGGCAUUGCACUUCAAGCAUUCUGCCAUUUGUAAUUGCAAUUAUGGUUAAAGGUGAUAUAUUAUGCUCAUUUCUGCUUCCUGACAAGGUUCCCUGAUGUCUAAAUGGUACGUUAGUAACGUGCUUUGGUCGAAAAAGCUGAAGGAUUGAGCACAGCAGGGUUCUUGAAACACCAGUUUCACAGCCCUGCUCCAGAUGGCCGGUUUCAGUGCCUUUCCCUUUAAAUGCUAAUGAGCUACUGCGUGCGCCGCCUACCUUUUCCUGCCUGUGGAAGACGUGAGGCCGGCACCGUGUGACCAUGGCAACGGCUGAGUUUGUGAAAGAAAUGGCUGCCGGACAACAGACUGCGGUGCAACCGUACAUGUUCGAGCCGGAGUCCGACCCUGAACAACAAGACGCUCCAGAAGAAAGUCAGCAGCCAAGAAUGAACAUGGAUGUUUCUCAGUGGUUAGUAGUUAAGUUUGUUACCUCGACAUUACUUUUAUGUUACUGCAUAGACUAACGAAAGUUUUACUGGCUUAGUGGCCGUAUUCCCAUGUUGUUACAGAUCACAACCCCCUUCUCCUGAGUGUUUACAUCAUAAAUCUUCGCCAAACCUCGGCUGGCGUUUACUGCUGUUAAGUUGCAGUAACGCGGAUGCAAUUGAGCACUCGCCCAUACUAGAGAAAAGCAUAACCCCAUAUUAUUUAUUUAUUUUAAUUUACCUUUAUGUAGCCAGGUAAGUCUGUUAAGAACCUGCUCUUAUUUGCAGUGACAACCUGUAAAUAGCUACUGCCACAAUUUUCAACAACUGUAGUUUUCAAUGAGCCAGUUGCCUCCCAUCACCUCUCUACCAGCAGUAUUGUUUUUGAACCGGUUCCAACAGUUUAUAAACUUUAAAUAAAUAUUACAAAAGAAACAACGCGACGUGAUUGAUUAGCUAUGUAGUUUCCAAUGAAUAACACAAAUUCUGUUUAAAAACAGGUGUUCCUGUGGCAAUUGUGAACAAAUGCCUACCGAGCCCGAGAAUAUCUGCUGUAUGGAAAUACCACAAGUUACACGAAGACUACAGCAGCUUCCUGAGCCACCAUCAUGCAUGGUGGACCAUCCUGGCCUAGAACCUGUCUGCCUGAAUGUAUUUUCACUGCAGAAUGCACUGAACAUUUAUCGGGCAGACUAUGGACCUUUACGUCUGAGGGGAAUAGUGCACCAAUAUAGAUACCUAGCCUACAGAAGCUUUGUAAGCUGGUGCUGGGGCUUUCUGGGGCGGAGAGUGAGAGUUGUGCUGCCUGCCUGCGUGGUGCUAAGGAUUCGUGCAGAGUUCCCUGACGCAGAAGGACAGUAUGUU